GACGAACGCUGGCGGCGUGCUUAACACAUGCAAGUCGAACGGAAAGGCCCUGCAUCUGUGGGGUGCUCGAGUGGCGAACGGGUGGGUAACAAGUGUGUAACCUGCUCUUGACUUUGGGAUAACUUCAGGUAAAUGCGGCUACUACCGGCUAGGAGCUCCUGCUGCAUGGAGGGGGUUGGCAAGUUUCGGCGGUUGGGGAUGGACUCGCGGGUUAUCAGCUUGUUGGUGGGGUAGUGGCUUACCGAGGCGUUGACGGAUAGGCGGCCUGAGAGGGUGACCAGCGACAAUGGGACUGAGGGAGGGCCCAGAGUGCAACGGGGGGCAACGGUGGCGAGUAUUAUACAGUGGGCGGGAGCGUGAUGAGGCGACGUCGGGGGUGUAAAGACGGCCUUGGGGGGAUAAACCGCGUACGGCUGAGACGAAGCGUGAUUGACGGUAAUGGGUGAAGAAGCACCGGCUAACUACGUG
rnacentral:rRNA from 1 species